CGCACUGCUUCUUGACACAAUGUCCACUUAACCCGGAAGCCAGCCGCACCAAUGUGUCCGAGGAAACACCGUACACCCGGCGACCGUGUCAUCGUGCACUGCGCCCGGUCCGCCACAGGAGUCGUUAGUGCAGGAUGGGACAAGAACGUCCCUGCCGGACAAACCUUCCCCUAACCUGGACGACGCCAAUUGUGCACCGGCCCAUGGGUUUCUCGGUCGCGGCCAGCUGCGACAAAGCCUGGGCUCGAACCCAGAAUCUCUGCGCCACUCGGGAGGCCAACUUAACUCUAUUUCUUGAACUGCAUUGGUUAAGGGCUUGUAAGUAAGCGUUUCACAGUAAGGUUGUUGUAUUCGGCGCAUGUGACAAAUACAAUUUGAUUUGAGCUAAUAUUGUGAAUAAUUGUUUUGUAGAGUUUUGAAAAAGCAAUUGUGUCAGGUGCCAGCAUUGGGGUUGCCAGUCCUAAAAUGAUCUUUUAAAAUGUUUGUUCAUUAACAUGAAGGGCAUUGUAAUGCAAUGGUUACAUAAAAUCAUGGGGGAAAUCAUUAGUGACGUGAUAAAUGGCGCCAGGUCGAAGUACAGGCUACAUAAAGGGUACUGUUGGGAUGGAUUAAAACACGAUUAAUGAGUGGAGGACAUUUUUCAUUCUCAUGUUUUGUUUGUAGUUAAAACUGUUGUGUUGCUGAUUUAAGAUAUAGCAUAGUGAAAAACUAACAAAAUGUUUAUUUUCUCUUUCAGGAGAGGAUGGGGUGUACCUAUCUCUCCCUUUGAAAUGUUUCCCGAGGCUAAUGCCUUGGGAGAUUAGUUCGUGAAAUUCUGAAUUUUUACAAAGUAUAAAGGUAUCCGGAUUUGACCGUAAAAGGGAGCUCCCAAAUAACUACGGCCUGGCCAUUUUGUUUGUUUUUGCUCUAUGUUUUACACACCAGAACACGCACAUGCACACAAAACCCACCGGUUAUGAAUAUAUGUUAGUGGUGUUAAUAGCGUGAUUGAUUUAUUGUGUUUGUUCUUUUGUUUGUAAAAUGGAAUGAUGGAAAUGUUUUAGGAAGUACAGGGAAAGGAAAAGACUUAAUGGUGUUGAAUGUGACUUUCUGGUGAUGCCUGAUCAACCUCACUAGAAAUGAGACAUUGGGUUUGAGUAUAACAUGAAGAAGUGUAUUGCUGUUGUUGUUGUUGUUUUUGUCUUUGUUUUCGAUACAAAUCUCACCAGAUUGGGUCGGGAUGUCUCCCUUGGACCACCCUCCAAGAUGGCAACGGGGAUUCCCCCAAGGGCAUAAGGCAAGGGGUCCAGAGGUUUCCUGGUUAUGUUAACAUGGGGUAAAAAUUGCCCCACCACUCUGGGACCUAUGGUGCCACCAGUCUGACCGCUCUGGGACCUAUGGUGCCACCAGUCUGACCGCUCUGGGACCUAUGGUGCCACCAGUCUGACCGCUCUGGGACCUAUGGUGCCACCAGUCUGACCGCUCUGGGACCUAUGGUGCCACCAGUCUGCUUGCAGUUGUCAGUUAUCACCAGGUAUGUGGAUGGGCUUUAUUCAGGAACGUUUCUUGGGAUACGUUGAUGUGUCAGGUGGGCGAGAUGUGCAGUCUGUGUUGGAAUGAUGGAUUUUGAGAUGUUUGAGUUUAACUUCAAGAAGAAACGCGUUGUCCAAACCUACGAUGGCGCAGCUGUAAUGGAAUGUCUCUGCUGUUUGUAUGUACAGCUAAGUCCUCUCCUGUUCUCUAAAUAAGAGGUGCACCACUCCACUACCAUUGUCAACUCUCUCCUGACAUGAACUGAAGCCACGUCUCAUGUUCAUCCACUGGCACAUUGAAUGUUUCCUCUCCAACCACUUCAAAUCCUGUCCUGCACUGAAGUCAAGCCUCUGAACACCCGAACUCAUGCCUCACACAAUCACAACUGUGAUCUCUUCCCAACACGAUGCAUAGUAGCCCUCUCAUUCCCAUUCCCCAUAAUAUUGUACUAUAAAUGUCUUUGUUAAAUGCUUUAGUUUAAAAUAAUUAGUUGUUUUUUUUACACACUUUGUCGUCUCUGUGCAUUCCGCACCUAUACUGUGGAUCUCUAAUCCUCCUAAAGUUUUCACGUCACCAGCCUCCACUGGACUACAGACGGUAUCUUGAUGCAUGUAAGGAUAAAUCGACCAAAAACAGUGUGACCUCCCCCCAGCCAGCUGAAGUAAUGGAAAAAAUGGCGUUCACUACGGCCCUGUCCUGCACCACUUCUACCGUGAGACCUGUACACAGCAUCCAGUCGACGCUAUCAACUGCCUUUUCUCUCACGAGUGUGACAAGAGUCCAUGUGGAGUGAGCACGGAGAGAGAUCCCGUCCAAACUUGCGGUCUCAUGUGUCCUGGGAGGAAAAUGGACAAGACAUAAUGGACUGUAAAGGACAUUGGAGGCUCAGGUGACAGACAUUAUCAAGGGCCAUCCACCUUGAACAUGUGCUAUUGGGAGGAUGAACUGAAACACUAUCUGAAGCAGAACAUGAAGAAACGCCAGAAGAAGAGUACCCGGGGAAGGAGGGUGGCUGUCAACUGUGCCUGUAAAUGGUUUAUUCCACGUGUAACUGUGCUGUUGUUUGUGUCGCACUGCUUUGCUUUAUAUUGGCCAGCUCGCAGUUGUAAAUGAGAACUUGUUCUCAACAAGCUUACCUGCUUAAAUAAAAAAUAAAAAAUGGAUUUACUGUUGAUAAACUGUUUAUUUGGGCUAUCAUGUUGAUUUUGGAAGUCUACACACUGAGAAGCUUAUUGUAAUGUAGAUAAAAAUUAAUUGGGAUACCGAUCUGUCAUUAACAUGCCACUCACAACAGUGUAAGAUGGGGACAAACAGUAAUGAGAACAGUUAAUACUGGAAAUAUAAGUAGUACAUACUGUCUAUAUAUGGUUCCCUGUUUGUAAAUGUACAUUCUAACUGUGUCGUUGUGUGCUAAGUUGAGGGUCUUGAAUUUGAGUGAUAGACCCAAAGUGGGGCACUGAAGACUGACAUUAUACAUUUGGGUUGUAUAACAUUGAUCGUAGGGUGCAAACAUGUUAUGGGUAGAUGGAAGGAUUUAUGUGCAAAUGCCGGAGGCUAAGUACAUACAUAUAUGUUUGCAUAAGGGUGUUAGUUGCAGAGAUAGUUUUGUCAUUUCAGACACUAUUGUGACACUAUUGUGUCCCAGAAGGGAAGUUGGCUGUAGUAGUAGUAGUAGCAUCACAUCUCCUGCAGAGGGCGCCAAACGAUAGGUGACCAUUGCUGUACAUUCAUACCCCAGGGUGACUAUUGUAGUGGAGCAUCUGAAAGAACUCAGCGGUGAUCUCGCAAACGAACACCAACCAGACAACAAUUGGAAUCCGUUUGGAUGGGUUCAGUCAUUGUUUGGUGUUAGGGGGGCUACAAAAUUUCAUUGGUUGAUUACAUAUCUGAUAAAGAUGAUAAUCCUGAUCACCGAAAACCCUGAAUUAAUGGUGCAGCAUGUCCAUAGGCCAUGCUCAUUGCGGGGGUUCUGUAAACGGUGCUCCCAAGGUAGUGUUACCGUCAUGGUGACCCGCGGCAAUGUGGACAGUGUCAACGAAGUGAUUGCCUUGUGUGUGGUGAUAAAGAAUGUACUGAUGUUUAACAUUCAUAUGUUCCUUUCCCCCUUCUGAGAAUGAAUUGCAUGUGAAGUUUUGAAACUCAAUGACAAAGGUAAUUUACAAUUUUAAUGUACUAAGUGUAAGAAAGUAUUUCAUUUUCCCUCUUUCCAAACCAUGUUAGUGCUUGUUUGAUGAAAAUGUUUGUAAGUAAUUUUCCAUUAGGUUGAGACUUGGUCUCAAAAGGGAGGAAUUGUGGUGGAAAAAUGUUUUACUCCUUCGAGAAUUGUCUCGUGUUAUAUCUUUUUUUUCUAACCUGAUACAAACUUGUCUUUGUGUGACUUAGUGGAAAAAGGGCGUAUAUCUAAGACAGGGCGUAUAGCUAAGAUCCGUUUGGGUGUGACCACAGCAUGUGAUACAUUGCAUGUUUUUACUAUCUGCAGGAAGUCAGCUGAAUAGACAUUUUCAGAAAGGAGAACAUUACUGUGUGAGCUAUGAUAAAUGCAGUUAGACGUUUGAGCCCUCGUGUUAUCUUAAUCUGCACAGACAAACCAAUCGCCUUGUACACACUGUUUCCGCCCCUGUUUCCACACAUCUUCUAAACUGCCACGAAGACAAAAAUGUUGUACUUUCUAUAAAAGCGGAGAGCCAACUCUGUUCGUUGGGCUUUUAACACUGCACUAUUUAGGGAUUGUUGAU